UUAACUUAAAUUUGUAUGGAGUUGGAACAGCUUCCCUUCGUUUGCCGCUAGAGGCGCUGUUCCAACUUCAUACAUAUUCGAGUUA
rnacentral:pre_miRNA from 1 species